CAUGUACUCCCUCCGUUCGGAAUUACUUGUCUCGGAAAUGGAUGUAUCUAGAACUAAAAUACAUCUAGAUACAUCCAUUUCUGCGACAAGUAAUUCCGAACAGAGGGAGUACAUA
rnacentral:pre_miRNA from 1 species